rnacentral:rRNA from 1 species
UACGUAGGGUGCAAGCGUUGUCCGGAAUUAUUGGGCGUAAAGAGCUCGUAGGCGGUUUGUUGCGUCGGCUGUGAAAUCCCGAGGCUCAACCUCGGGUCUGCAGUCGAUACGAGCAAACUAGAGUGUUGCAGGGGAGACUGGAAUUCCUGGUGUAGCGGUGAAAUGCGUAGAUACUGGGAGGAACACCAGUGGCGAAGGCGGCUACCUGGACCGGAACUGACGCUGAUGCGCGAAAGCGUGGGGAGCAAACAGG